rnacentral:SRP_RNA from 1 species
GCUGGGCGUGGUGGCUCAUGCCUGUAAUCCCAGCAUUUUGGGAGGCUGAGGCGGGAGGAUCACCUGAGGUCAGGAGUUCCAGACCAGCCUGACCAACAUGGAGAAACCCUGUCUCUA